rnacentral:rRNA from 1 species
GACGAACGCUGGCGGCGUGCCUAAUACAUGCAAGUAGAACGCACAGUUUAUACCGUAGCUUGCUACACCAUAGACUGUGAGUUGCGAACGGGUGAGUAACGCGUAGGUAACCUGCCUGGUAGCGGGGGAUAACUAUUGGAAACGAUAGCUAAUACCGCAUAAUAUUAAUUAUUGCAUGAUAAUUAAUUGAAAGGUGCAAUUGCACCACUACCAGAUGGACCUGCGUUGUAUUAGCUAGUAGGUGAGGUAACGGCUCACCUAGGCGACGAUACAUAGCCGACCUGAGAGGGUGAUCGGCCACACUGGGACUGAGACACGGCCCAGACUCCUACGGGAGGCAGCAGUAGGGAAUCUUCGGCAAUGGACGAAAGUCUGACCGAGCAACGCCGCGUGAGGGAAGAAGGGUUUCGGAUCGUAAAGCUCUGUUGUAAGAGAAGAACGGGUGUGAGAGUGGAAAGUGCACACUGUGACGGUAUCUUACCAGAAAGGGACGGCUAACUACGUG